rnacentral:rRNA from 1 species
GACGAACGCUGGCGGCGUGCCUAAUACAUGCAAGUAGAACGCAGUUGCGAACGGGUGAGUAACGCGUAGGUAACCUGCCUCAUAGCGGGGGAUAACUAUUGGAAACGAUAGCUAAUACCGCAUACUGUGAGAUGGACCUGCGUUGUAUUAGCUAGUUGGUGAGGUAAAGGCUCACCAAGGCGACGAUCCGUAGCUGGUUUGAGAGGCCUACCAGCCACCUUGGGACGGGGACACGGCCCAGACUCCUACGGGAGGGAGCAGGGGGGAAUUUUGGACAAUGGGGGAACCCCUGAUCCAGCCAGCCCGCGUGUGCGAUGAAGGCGUUCGGGUUGUAAAGCCCUUUUGGCAGGAAAGCGGUACCUGCAGAAUAAGCACCGGCUAACUACGUGCCAGCAGCCGCGGUAAUAC